ensembl:lncRNA
CCCAUUUGGCAAUGGCAAUCUAGAUUUGUCAACUGCAAUCUGGAAAAACCAGCAAGUCCUGGGGAGAGUUAAACACGACCUCUAGCAGUUGAACCCAUGGCAGUUGGUGCUGGGUGAAGGGGUGAGAGAUGGGAGGUGGGGUAGCUAUAAUAAAGGUGAACUUUUCCUCUGUUUUUUGACAUUGCUCUCACCAGCCACCCUCACCCCCGGCGGAGCAGAGUCCCCGAGAGAAUCGCAGACCACGGAGGUCCCUCCUCUUCUGCUAGGCCACGAACCAAAAAAGGCCAACGGAGAGGAGAAUGGGUUAAAUCCUGGGACGCAGGGGAGAGUCAGGGGAGGAGAGAAGUCGGGGGGAGAUAAAGAAAAAGACAGGAACCAAGAAGCGUGGGGGUGGUUUGCCGUAAUGUGAGUGUUUCUUAAUUAGAGAACGGCUGACAAUAGAGGGGCUGGCAGAGGCUCCUGGCCGCGGUGCCGAGCGUCUGGAGCGGAGCACGCGCUGUCAGCUGCGCCGUAAGAAAGACAGAACUAAGCACUGUGGUACCAAGAUUUGAGGCCUCUCUACAUCCCAUUUCCUGUUUCAGUCCCGCUUCCAAAACCAAGAGAGAAACAGAAGAGGUUUUGGCUGCCUAGUCUGCAGGAAGUCAGGCCCAUGAGGUCAAAGAAUAACUCCAGGAAGCUUCCUACAGCAUUCCCAGCUGAAUCUGAUCCAAAUGGAGGCAAGGACCACACCAUGAAGAGCACCAACCUACAGG